UACUCAACCACAAGUUGCUUAUUGAAUUCUGUCUGGAAAAUAUUAUUCACUGAAAUCAUGUCUCAAUAGAACAAAGUUUAAUUUUGUAAUUAGCCAAGCCAUCUGUUAGUGCAAGCUAUCUAAAUGAAAGAGGUUCUACUUCUAGAAUUUUUCAUGGUUAGUGAUGGUUUUUGUAAUGGGUGACUGAAAGAAGGAAACACUGUAAGUUUCAAAUUAUAGGUAGAAAUAGAAUGUCAACUUUCUUCUGCUUUUGAUAACUUACCAAGAGAGAACAAAAUAAUCUCCUGAAGACUAUUUCUUUUGUUUUUUGAGUGUUUUUGAAGCUCUUGUGCUACAUGCAGGACCAGGAAAGUUUCCAUUUAUGAACCUAUAAGAAAGUCUGCAAAUGGAGCUAUAAGCAUAUCGCUGCAGCCAGUUCUUCUGGAGGCGACGCCUUUGAACGCAGAGUCUGAAAGGCAAGGACAAGAGACCAGGCGUUUUCAAUGUCAGAGAUAAUCUUUUAGUGCCUCUAAAGUACCCUUCCUUCCCAAAGGCCUCACAUUAGUCUCUGUGUACAUUGCUGAAAUUCUAAUGCACUCCUCCCGCUAUGGAUAAAUGGAAUGGAUGUUGUGAGUUGUCUUCAUGUAAUUCUCAAACUUUCUUCAUCUUUGUCUCUUACUCUCUUUCUCUCUCGCUGAGUACCUCCUGUU